rnacentral:rRNA from 1 species
CAGCUAGUUGGCGAGGUAAUGGCUCACCAAGGCUUCGAUCGGUAACCGGCCUGAGAGGGCGAUCGGACACACUGGAACUGAAACACGGUCCAGACUCCUACGGGAGGCAGCAGUGGGGAAUUUUGCGCAAUGGGGGAAACCCUGACGCAGCAACGCCGCGUGGAGGAUGAAGCUCCUUGGAGUGUAAACUCCUUUCGACCGGGAAAAUGAUGAUGGUACCGGUGGAAGAAGCACCGGCUAACUCUGUGCCAGCAGCCGCGGUAAUACAGAGGGUGCGAGCGUUGUUCGGAAUUAUUGGGCGUAAAGGGCGCGUAGGCGGUGUUGUAAGUCACCUGUGAAACCUCUGGGCUUAACUCAGAGCCUGCAGGCGAAACUGCAAUGCUGGAUGGUGGGAGAGGUGCGUGGAAUUC